UGGGGAAUUUUGGACAAUGGGCGAAAGCCUGAUCCAGCAAUGCCGCGUGUGUGAAGAAGGCCUUCGGGUUGUAAAGCACUUUUGUCCGGAAAGAAAUCCUUGGCUCUAAUACAGUCGGGGGAUGACGGUACCGGAAGAAUAAGCACCGGCUAACUACGUGCCAGCAGCCGCGGUAAUACGUAGGGUGCAAGCGUUAAUCGGAAUUACUGGGCGUAAAGCGUGCGCAGGCGGUUUGCUAAGACCGAUGUGAAAUCCCCGGGCUCAACCUGGGAACUGCAUUGGUGACUGGCAGGCUAGAGUAUGGCAGAGGGGGUAGAAUUCCACGCGUAGCAGUGAAAUGCGUAGAGAUGUGGAGGAAUACCGAUGGCGAAGGCAGCCCCCUGGGCCAAUACUGACGCUCAUGCACGAAAGCGUGGGGAGCAAACAGGAUUAGAUACCCUGGUAGUCCACGCCCUAAACGAUGUCAACUAGUUGUUGGGGAUUCAUUUCCUUAGUAACGUAGCUAACGCGUGAAGUUGACCGCCUGGGGAGUACGGUCGCAAGAUUAAAACUCAAAGGAAUUGACGGGGUCAUAGCUGUUUCCU
rnacentral:rRNA from 1 species